CCUCCCGGGCGCCCACUGGGGCGGCCAGCUCGGGGUGCGGAGCCGGCGGAGCGAUCCGACCGUGUCCAUUUGUGGCUGGAUCUGGUUUCUGUCCUCCGCACACAGAGAAACGCGCUGCUGUGUCCCCAGGGUCCUCCCAGUCCAGGGCUCCACGGGACCUCGGCCUCGUUGUCCAGACUGAAGCCUGACACCUGAAGACGCAUUUCCAUUUGGGGUGAUCUGUGGGUUCUGGAGCAAAGAGAAGGAAGUGGGAAGAAGGACGGGGAGGGAGGCGGCACUGGGAGGCAGAGCCCCGGGCAGGGAGUUGGUCUUUUUCAAAUCAAAAGCCUGUUGGCAGCUCCAACAGCACAGCCCCUUCCCGGGACUGAGGCAGGGUGUUUAUUUAUCCUCCAAGUCUUUAAAAAGUUCUUUAUUUUAUUGCAAAAGCAAUACGCACUCGUUGUUUGAAACCAAACAUCACAGAACUGUAUAAACUGAGAUCCCUGCCGCCCUCCCCCUCUCCGCCUUGGCUGUCUGUGGUGUUUUUUCUUUUAGAUAUUUUCCACUUCAAAGUCCCCCUACAAAAAAACCCCAAAACUUUUCCCCCUCUUUGUAGCUACAGGAUACAGUGAAAAGUAAAAUGUGUCCUGGGCA